rnacentral:rRNA from 1 species
UUAGAGUUUGAUCCUGGCUCAGGACGCUUGCUGGCGGCGCGCCUAACACAUGCAAGUCGAACGAGCGAGAGAGAGCUUGCUUUCUCGAGCGAGUGGCGAACGGGUGAGUAACGCGUGAGGAACCUGCCUCAAAGAGGGGGACAACAGUUGGAAACGACUGCUAAUACCGCAUAAGCCCACGGGUCGGCAUCGACCAGAGGGAAAAGGAGCAAUCCGCUUUGAGAUGGCCUCGCGUCCGAUUAGCUAGUUGGUGAGGUAACGGCCCACCAAGGCGACGAUCGGUAGCCGGACUGAGAGGUUGAACGGCCACAUUGGGACUGAGACACGGCCCAGACUCCUACGGGAGGCAGCAGUGGGGAAUAUUGCACAAUGGGGGAAACCCUGAUGCAGCGACGCCGCGUGGAGGAAGAAGGUCUUCGGAUUGUAAACUCCUGUUGUUGAGGAAGAUAAUGACGGUACUCAACAAGGAAGUGACGGCUAACUACGUGCCAGCAGCCGCGGUAAAACGUAGGUCACAAGCGUUGUCCGGAAUUACUGGGUGUAAAGGGAGCGCAGGCGGGAAGACAAGUUGGAAGUGAAAUCUAUGGGCUCAACCCAUAAACUGCUUUCAAAACUGUUUUUCUUGAGUAGUGCAGAGGUAGGCGGAAUUCCCGGUGUAGCGGUGGAAUGCGUAGAUAUCGGGAGGAACACCAGUGGGGAAGGGGGCCUACUGGGGCACCAACUGACGCUGAGGCUCGAAAGUGUGGGUAGCAAACAGGAUUAGAUACCCUGGUAGUCCACACCGUAAACGAUGAUUACUAGGUGUUGGAGGAUUGACCCCUUCAGUGCCGCAGUUAACACAAUAAGUAAUCCACCUGGGGAGUACGACCGCAAGGUUGAAACUCAAAGGAAUUGACGGGGGCCCGCACAAGCAGUGGAGUAUGUGGUUUAAUUCGACGCAACGCGAAGAACCUUACCAAGUCUUGACAUCCUGCGACGCACAUAGAAAUAUGUGUUUCCUUCGGGACGCAGAGACAGGUGGUGCAUGGUUGUCGUCAGCUCGUGUCGUGAGAUGUUGGGUUAAGUCCCGCAACGAGCGCAACCCUUACUGUCAGUUACUACGCAAGAGGACUCUGGCAGGACUGCCGUUGACAAAACGGAGGAAGGUGGGGAUGACGUCAAAUCAUCAUGCCCUUUAUGACUUGGGCUACACACGUACUACAAUGGCGUUAAACAAAGAGAAGCAAGACCGCGAGGUGGAGCAAAACUCAGAAACAACGUCCCAGUUCGGACUGCAGGCUGCAACUCGCCUGCACGAAGUCGGAAUUGCUAGUAAUCGUGGAUCAGCAUGCCACGGUGAAUACGUUCCCGGGCCUUGCACUCACCGCCCGUCA